rnacentral:rRNA from 1 species
UGGCUCAGGAUGAACGCUGGCGGCAGGCUUAACACAUGCAAGUCGAGGGGCAUCAUGGGAGGUGGCGACACCACCCGAUGGCGACCGGCGCACUGGUGAGUAACACGUAUGCGACCUGCCUCCUUCAGGGGGAUAACCCAGAGAAAUUUGGCCUAAUACCCCAUAGUCCGCGUGGCUGCAUGGCCGUGCGGGGAAAGAUCCGUCGGAAGGAGAUGGGCAUGCGGCGCAUUAGCUUGUUGGCGGGGCAACGGCCCACCAAGGCUACGAUGCGUAGGGGUUCUGAGAGGAAGGUCCCCCACACUGGUACUGAGACACGGACCAGACUCCUACGGGAGGCAGCAGUGGGGAAUA